rnacentral:tRNA from 1 species
GGCCCCGUGGACUAACGGCAGGUCACGAGACUCUCAAUCUCGGGGAGCGGGUUCGAUUCCCGCCGGGGCUA